UGGCUGAAUGGUAAAGCGCUUGUCUUUUGAACCAGGGUCUGGGGUUCGAAUCCUGA
rnacentral:tRNA from 1 species